rnacentral:rRNA from 1 species
AUUGAACGCUGGCGGCAGGCCUAACACAUGCAAGUCGAACGAGUGGCGGACGGGUGAGCAAUGUCUGGGAAACUGCCUGAUGGAGGGGGAUAACUACUGGAAACGGUAGCUAAUACCGCAUACCAUAGCAUGUGCCCAGAUGGGAUUAGCUAGUAGGGUGGGUAAAGCCUCACCUAGGCGACGAUCCCUAGCUGGUCUGAGAGGAUUACCAGCCAAACUGGAACUGAGACACGGUCCAGACUCCUACGGGAGGCAGCAGUGGGGAAGAUUGCACAAUGGGCGCAAGCCUGAUGCAGCCAUGCCGCGUGUAUGAAGAAGGCCUUCGGGUUGUAAAGUACUUUCAGCGGGGAGGCGUUACCCGCAGAAGAAGCACCGGCUAACUCCGUGCCAGCCGCCGCGGUAAUAC